rnacentral:lncRNA from 1 species
CUAGAAUGACGUCAAAAUCUGUCAAGUCUAGAACCACAAGGUCGGCGGACAAGCAUCUUCCCUCAACAAAUACAGGACUACACUGGCAGACUGACUCUGCCACUGAUGGAUCACACUUGGGUCCACUGACCCAGAGAGGACACUCUAACUCAGAUAUCAUCAACCCUAACCUCUGGACGGCUCUCGGUGUAACAAAAGAAUGAGAUGCACCAGGGUCCAUCAAGGCAUACACAUCUGAACAACCAAUGACUAAGUUACCUGCCACCAC